UUAAAAGCUCGCUAGUUGGAUAUUUGUUGAGACGCCGUCUACCCCAGUGGUCAGCACACGGUUUGUUCUCGGCACUUUCCUGGGGAGAGUGUUUGCACUUCAUUGUGUGGCACAUGAUCCAGAACUUUUACUUUGAGGAAAUGAGAGUGUUUCAAGCAGGCGCCUGUCGUGAAUACGUUAGCAUGGAAUAAUAGCAUGGGACCGCGGUCUGAAGCUGUUGGUUUUUGGGCCGUGGUAAUGAAAAUAGGGAUAGUUGGGGGUAUUCGUAUUUAACUGUCAGAGGUGAAAUUCUUGGAUUUUUUAAAGACGGACUACUGCGAAAGCAUCUGCCCAGGAUGUUUUUAUUGAUCAAGAACGAAAGUUAGGGGAUCGAAGACGAUCAGAUACCGUCCUAGUCUUAACCUUAAACCAUGCCGACUAGAGAUUUGGGUCGUCAGAAUCGUGACGCCCUGAGCACCUUAGGGGAAACCAAAGUCUUCGGGUUCCGGGGGGAGUAUGGUCGCAAGGCUGAAACUU
rnacentral:rRNA from 1 species